GGUUUGAAAGGCUGAGCUAAAGUCCAGCGCUCUGGCCUUAUAGUCCCUGAACCCCCACCGUGGGGCCUUCCUGGGCACCUCAGGCAGGCCAGGACAACCUGGUGACACGCUUCUGAGACCUGGAACCUCUCAACCUGCAGCCCCUACAAAGGCUGCUGAGGUCAGUCCUGGAAGGGCAGGGUCUGCUGCCCCUCCCAGCCCAGCCAUCCUGACCCUGAGCCCUGGUCCUCAUGGUGUUGGAGAGGCAGAGGACACUUGCCACCAGCUAGAAUCCAGCCUGGGGUGGCUGCUGGGCCCCAAGGGGCUGCUGUGGAGAGGCCACGUACGCAGUGACCCAGACCACGGCGCCCUGGGCCCAGUCACUCUACAGGGCGGGGACUCAGACUUGGGAGUGCCACCAGCCUCCCCAGGGCCUGUCCAAGCCACUUGAAGGAGACUAACAAGAAUGGCUCUGAGCCACGGGGAUGGGGACGGGGGACAGGAGCGAAUCCCUACACAGCUGAGCUCCCGGAUGAGCAGCCCCCGUGGAAAGGGCUUUCUGGAGCUGGGUGGUCCCCCCUGGGCCUGGGGCAGGGAAGGUAUUAACUGGGAGCCCCCAGGCCUGGGGCAGGGAAGGUAUUAACUGGGGGCCCCCCCGGGCCUGGGGCAGGAAGGUAUUUAACUGCUCUGGGGUAACGUAAAACCCUCCAAAUUCACGUUUGGAUCCGGCCAGGAUACCGCCGUCAUGGCUCUUCAGAAACAGGCGUUGACAGUGUGACCGAGUCCAAGGAGAGCUUGGGGCUGGUGGGACCUGACCCAGGGUGGCUGCCCUCUUGUAGAGAGGGAUCUGGACCCAGACACACAGGGAGGAGGCCUGCACAGACAGGCAGAGGUCCAGUGCUGCGUCCCCAGGCCCAGACACCCCAGAGGUGGCCCACAGACCACCAGAAGCUGCAGGACCCUGGAGCAGACUCUCGGGAGGAGCCAGCCCUCCCCACACUGGUGUUAGACCUCUGGCUGCAGGUCAGGGACUAGAUCCCUGAUGCCAAACCCCAGGCUUCGGGGCAACCCUGAAUGUCACUGAGCAUCAGAGCCACCGCCACCCUACAGGAGGGCGGAGCCCCAGGCCCCUCUAGAUGCUGGACCCUGGGGAGACCUGGGAAAAGAGUCCAGGGCCAGGAGAGGGGCCAGGGGAGGAGGG
rnacentral:lncRNA from 1 species